UUUAAAUAGCUGCAGUAUUUUAACUGUACAAAGGUAGCGUAAUAAUUAGUCUUUUAAUUGAGGUCUAGCAUGAAUGGUUUGACAAGAAAAUAACUUUAUUAAUUUAAUUUAAAUGAAUUUUAUUUUUUAGUUAAAAAGCUAAAAUUUUUAAAUGGGACGAUAAGACCCUAUAGAUCUUUAAUUUUUUUAUUUAUAAGAUAUUUAAGUUAAUUACAUUUAUUUUAAUUAAAAAAUUUUUGUUGGGGUGACAUAUAAAAUUUUAAAACUUUAUAAUUUUUUUACAUUUUUUGAUGAUUAAACUUUGAACCUUAAUUUAUGUUUAUUAAAAUAAGAUACCUUAGGGAUAACAGCGUAAUAAAUUUGGAUAGUUCAUAUAGAUAAAUUUGUUUACGACCUCGAUGUUGAAUUAAUUUAAGUUUUAGGGGCAGAAGAUUAAAUUUUAGGUCUGUUCGACCUUUAAAAGAUUACA
rnacentral:rRNA from 1 species